rnacentral:lncRNA from 1 species
CCCGCCAUUAAAAAUAAGAUUUCUAUAAGAGGUUUCAUUAGGAGAACCACCAGUAAAAACGUAUUUUCAUUGGUGGUUUUCUUAAGAAAACCGCCAGUGAAAAUAGUUUUCUACUGACGGUUCCUGAGUCUGGCCCGUCGAUUUCUUUUCACAAGCGUUUUUUAAUUGAAAUCGCCUGUAAAAAAAAUUCCACCACCACCUUAGAGCUUUUUUUGUACUACAGCUAUGCUGACCACACAAGUAUUAGGAGGCAGGGGAGUGGGAUCCAUGUACGCUUGGGCAUGUGCAGUGCUUCCAGUUUUCACUGAUCAUGCCCAAACAUGCAUCAUCUGACAGGUCCUUAACACACUACUAGAAACUGAUUCUUUGCCUAGUGCCAGAGGCUUUGCCGAGUGCCGAGUGUCACACUCGGCAAAGCAAAAUACUCGGCAAUGGGGGCUCUGCCAAGUACCGGGCACUCGGCAAACACCGGCACUCUGCAAAAAUUUUCUGUACCGAGUGCCGGACAUUUAGCAAAGCCCGACACUCGGCAAAGAUGGCCAUAGGUGACGCCUGUCUGUCUUUACCAAGUGUUCACCGUUCGGCACACAACAUUUUUUUUCUUAUUAUUUUAUUAAAUUCUUUGGUGAGCGCUUUGGCUUUAGCACUCGUCAAAGAAUUUUUUUAAUAAAUUCUUUGCUGAGUGCCCUAGCUCUAGCACUCAUAAAGAAAAUUUUUUUAGUUACUUCUUUGUUGAGUGCCCUCUCGUGGCACUUGGCGAAGAAAUUUUUUAUUUUCAAAUAUUUUAAUUUUUUUAUUUUUUUCACCCAAAUUUUUUCUGUAGCCCUACCACAGUACCUACAACUACAUAUUCAAAUUUGGUGCUCUUUUUGUACAUUUUUGCUAUAUUUCUUCAAUUAAUUUCAUUUCAUUGAAUUAUUUUGAAAAAUUCAAACUUAAAAUGCACCUGCAUCGAAUAAUGAAUCUAGAGAUUUAAAAAAAUGAUACUAAAGUUAGUGUGUGUCAUGUGAGACCUUAUCUCGGAACUAGAUGGAAAUUUCUUACAUCUUGUUCAGGAAACAUGAGGGAAAACUUGCAAACAAAUUGUUUUUAAAUUCUAUAAAAUUCAAACGAAUUACGAAAAUGACAAAACUUUACGAACCGUCGUUAUAUCAUAUAUGGAGGCUAUGAUAAAAAUUUGAGAAGGUUUGGUACGCGUUGUCAUAUACGAGCUUAGAAACCAAAACAUCACCCACACAUGUGAGAUGUCUAGGUUUCUAAGCAUCAUACGACCCAACAUGCACGAAUCAUUUCCAAUUUUUUACCACAACCGACACAUGUGAUCUCAUGAUGUCUCGAUAAGUUUCAUGAUUUUUGGACUAUGUUUGCAUUUUAUAUAAUUAAAAAGCUAUUUGCCCGCAAGUUUGGGGUCA